AAUUACGGCUCAGUAACACGUAGUCAACCUGCCCUGGAGACCAGAAUAACCCCGGGAAACUGGGAUUAAUACUGGAUAGGUCAUCUCAUCUGGAAGGAGAGAUGGCUUAAAGGGGUGUGUGAGCUUCUUUCAUACAGCUGCUCCAGGAUGGGACUGCGACUGAUCAGGCUGUUGGCGGGGUAAUGGCCCACCAAACCAGUAACCAGUACGGGCCUUGAGAGAGGGGGCCCGGAGAUGGACACUGAGAGAAGGGUCCAGGUCCUACGGGGCGCAGCAGGCGCGAAACCUUCGCAAUGCGCGAAAGCGUGACGAGGUUAAUCCGAGUGGUUCCCGCUGAGGGAAUCUUUUGUCGGCUCUAAAAAGGCCGGCGAAUAAGGGGAGGGCAAGUCUGGUGUCAGCCGCCGCGGUAAUACCAGCUCCUCGAGUGGUCGGGGCGAUUAUUGGGCCUAAAGCAUCCGUAGCCGGUUCUGUAGGUCCUCUGUUAAAUCCAACGGCUUAACCGUUGGCCCGCAGAGGAUACCGCAGGACUAGGAGGCGGGAGAGGCAGACGGUACUCUACGUGUAGGGGUAAAAUCCUUUGAUCCGUAGAAGACCACCAGUGGCGAAGGCGGUCUGCCAGAACGCGCUCGACGGUGAGGGAUGAAAGCUGGGGGAGCGAACCGGAUUAGAUACCCGGGUAGUCCCAGCCGUAAACGAUGCGAGCUAGAUGAUUCGGUCGCAAAUCGCGAUCGAAGUGUCGCAGGGAAGCCGUUAA
rnacentral:rRNA from 1 species